AGAGUUUGAUUCUGGCUCAGGACGAACGCUGGCGGCGUGCUUAACACAUGCAAGUCGAACGAUGACGAUGGUGCUUGCACCGUCUGAUUAGUGGCGAACGGGUGAGUAACACGUGAGUAACCUGCCCUCCUCUUCGGGAUAACCGCCGGAAACGGUGGCUAAUACCGGAUAUGAAUGCCUGCCGCAUGGUGGGUGUUGGAAAGAUUUAUCGGUGGGGGAUGGACUCGCGGCCUAUCAGUUUGUUGGUGAGGUAAUGGCUCACCAAGGCGAUGACGGGUAGCCGGCCUGAGAGGGCGACCGGCCACACUGGGACUGAGACACGGCCCAGACUCCUACGGGAGGCAGCAGUGGGGAAUAUUGCACAAUGGGCGAAAGCCUGAUGCAGCGACGCCGCGUGGGGAUGACGGCCUUCGGGUUGUAAACCUCUUUCAGCAGGGAAGAAGCGAGAGUGACGGUACCUGCAGAAGAAGCGCCGGCUAACUACGUGCCAGCCGCCGC
rnacentral:rRNA from 1 species